CGUAGGGGCGAGCGUUGUCCGGAAUGACUGGGCGUAAAGCGUGCGUAGGCGGCCUUGCGCGUCUGGGGUUUAAGACCACGGCUCAACCGUGGGGUGCCUUGGAAACGGUGAGGCUUGAGUGCUGGAGAGGCAAGGGGAAUUCCACGUGUAGCGGUGAAAUGCGUAGAGAUGUGGAGGAAUACCUGUGGCGAAGGCGCCUUGCUGGACAGUGACUGACGCUGAGGCACGAAAGCGUGGGGAGCAAACAGGAUU
rnacentral:rRNA from 1 species